CGUGGGUAACCUGCCCAAGAGAUCGGGAUAACACCUGGAAACAGAUGCUAAUACCGGAUAACAACAGAUGAUGCCUAUCAACUGUUUAAAAGAUGGUUCUGCUAUCACUCUUGGAUGGACCUGCGGUGCAUUAGCUAGUUGGUAGGGUAACGGCCUACCAAGGCGAUGAUGCAUAGCCGAGUUGAGAGACUGAUCGGCCACAUUGGGACUGAGACACGGCCCAAACUCCGUACGGGAGGCAGCAGUC
rnacentral:rRNA from 1 species